AUACGGAGGGUGCGAGCGUUGUUCGGAAUUAUUGGGCGUAAAGAGCAUGUAGGCGGUCUGUUAAGUCUGGUGUGAAAGCCCGGGGCUCAACCCCGGAAGUGCAUUGGAUACUGGCAGACUUGAGUAUGGGAGAGGAAAGCGGAAUUCCGAGUGUAGGAGUGAAAUCCGUAGAUAUUCGGAGGAACACCAGUGGCGAAGGCGGCUUUCUGGACCAAUACUGACGCUGAGAUGCGAAAGCGUGGGGAGCAAACAGGAUUAGAGACCCGGGUAGUCC
rnacentral:rRNA from 1 species